rnacentral:rRNA from 1 species
CAGUCGCCACGGUAAUACGUAGGGUGCGAGCGUUAAUCGGAAUUACUAGGCGUAAAGCGUGCGCAGGCGGUUUUGUAAGACAGGCGUGAAAUCCCCGGGCUCAACCUGGGAAUGGCGCUUGUGACUGCAAAGCUAGAGUGCGGCAGAGGGGGAUGGAAUUCCGCGUGUAGCAGUGAAAUGCGUAGAUAUGCGGAGGAACACCGAUGGCGAAGGCAAUCCCCUGGGCCUGCACUGACGCUCAUGCACGAAAGCGUGGGGAGCAAACAGGAUUAGAUACCCCGGUAGUCCCUGUCUCUUAUAC